AUGCAAGUCGAGCGGGGAUGGACUCUUCGGAGGCCAUUCUAGCGGCGGACGGGUGAGUAACGCGUGAGCAAUCUAGCUUUUAGAGGGGGAUAACACAUUGAAAGAUGUGCUAAUACCGCAUGAGACCACAGAGCCACAUGGCUUAGGGGUCAAAGGAGAAAUCCGCUGAGGGGUGAGCUCGCGUCUGAUUAGCUAGUUGGUGAGGUAACGGCUCACCAAGGCGACGAUCAGUAGCCGACCUGAGAGGGUGAUCGGCCACACUGGAACUGAGAAACGGUCCAGACUCCUACGGGAGGCAGCAGUGGGGAAUAUUGGGCAAUGGGGGAAACCCUGACCCAGCAACGCCGCGUGAGGGAAGAAGGUUUUCGGAUCGUAAACCUCUGUCUUAUGUGAAGAGAAGAAGACGGUAGCAUAAGAGGAAGCCCCGGCUAACUACGUGCCAGCAGCCGCGGUAAUACGUAGGGGGCAAGCGUUGUCCGGAAUGACUGGGCGUAAAGGGCGCGUAGGCGGCCUGAUAAGUCUGGAGUGAAAGUCCCGCUUUCAAGGUGGGAAUUGCUUUGGAAACUGUCGGGCUUGAGUGUGGGAGAGGAAAGCGGAAUUCCCGGUGUUAGCGGUGAAAUGCGUAAAGAUCGGGA
rnacentral:rRNA from 2 species